AGAGUUUGAUCCUGGCUCAGGAUGAACGUUGGCGGUGCGCCUAAUACAUGCAAGUCGAACGAGAAACUUGGAUUUAUUCAAGUGGAAAGUGGCGGACGAGCGAGUAACACGUAAGAACCUGCCCUGUACUCGGGGAUAACCUGGCGAAAGUCGGGCUAAUACCGGAUGGUCCCCUCACCUUUUUUCAUAAACUGUAAAAAAAACAGAUUGAACCACAACUUUGUGGAAAAAGGUGAGGGGUAAAGAUUUAUCGGUACGGGAGGGGCUUGCGGCUUAUCAGCUAGUUGGUGAGGUAAAUGCUUACCAAGGCUAUGACGAGUAACUGGUGUGAGAGCACGAUCAGUCGCGAUGGGACUGAGAUACGGCCCAUACUUCUACGGAAGGCAGCAGUAGGGAAUCUUCCGCAAUGGACGAAAGUCUGACGGAGCGACACCGCGUGAAGGAUGAAGCAUUUCGGUGUGUAAACUUCUUUUCUGGGGGAAGAAAAUCUGACGGUACCCCAGGAAUAAGGACCGGCUAAUCACGUGCCAGCAGCCGCGGUAAUACGUGAGGUCCGAACGUUAUCCGGAAUUGUUGGGCGUAAAGCGUCCGCAGGUGGUGAAAAAAGUCUGUCAUUAAAUACCAGAGCUCAACUUUGGUGCUGUGAUGGAAACUUUUUCGCUAGAGGAUGGGAGAGGUAUAUGGAAUUGUGCAAGUAGGGGUAAAAUCCGUAGAUAU
rnacentral:rRNA from 1 species